GACCCGUAUUUCAAAACUGAAUUUCUUUUUACCAAUAUUUUUAUGCUUAUUCAUUUUAGAUAAUUUAUUAUUGUAUAUAUAAAAGUGUAAGAUAUGUUAAUUUUUAGACAUGUAUUAUAUAGUUUGUUAAUUUUAAGCCGUUCUAUCAUCAUAUUAUAUUUUAAAUAAAUAGUUUAUAUUUAUGAAAAUAAAAUUUAUAAAUUUAUCAAUUGA
rnacentral:lncRNA from 1 species